UGGCGGCGUGCUUAAUACAUGCAAGUCGAACGGACAAUGUCAGAUAGCUUGCUAUCUGAUUGAGUUAGUGGCGAACGGGUGAGUAAUACGUAGGCAACCUACCCCAAAGCGGGGGAUAGCAGUUGGAAACGACUAUUAAUACCGCAUAGGUAUUCGGGAGGCAUCUCCUGAUUAUUAAAGGUGCGUUUGCACCGCUGUGGGAUGGGCUUACGCUGUAUUAGCUUGUUGGUGAGGUAACGGCCCACCAAGGCGAUGAUACAUAGCCGGUCUGAGAGGAUGAACGGCCACAUUGGGACUGAGACACGGCCCAGACUCCUACGGGAGGCAGUAGUAAGGAAUUUUCGGCAAUGGGGGAAACCUUGACCGAGCAACGCCGCGUGAGUGAUGAAAGGCCUUCGGGUCGUAAAGCUCUGUGGUAAAGGAAGAACACCAUGAAUAGGAAAUGAUUCAUGGCUGACGGUACUUUACUAGAAAGUCACGGCUUACUACGUGCCAGCAGCCGC
rnacentral:rRNA from 1 species